AUUGAACGCUGGCGGCAGGCCUAACACAUGCAAGUCGAACGGUAACAGGAAGCAGCUUGCUGCUUCGCUGACGAGUGGCGGACGGGUGAGUAAUGUCUGGGAAGCUGCCUGAUGGAGGGGGAUAACUACUGGAAACGGUAGCUAAUACCGCAUAAUGUCGCAAGACCAAAGAGGGGGACCUUCGGGCCUCUUGCCAUCGGAUGUGCCUAGAUGGGAUUAGCUUGUUGGUGGGGUAACGGCUCACCAAGGCGACGAUCCCUAGCUGGUCUGAGAGGAUGACCAGCCACACUGGAACUGAGACACGGUCCAGACUCCUACGGGAGGCAGCAGUGGGGAAUAUUGCACGAUGGGCGCAAGCCUGAUGCAGCCAUGCCGCGUGUAUGAAGAAGGCCUUCGGGUUGUAAAGUACUUUCAGCGGGGAGGAAGGGAGUAAAGUUAAUACCUUUGCUCAUUGACGUUACCCGCAGAAGAAGCACCGGCUAACUCCGUG
rnacentral:rRNA from 1 species